AAUGAACGCUAGCUACAGGCUUACCACAUCCAAGUCGAGGGGUAACAAGAGGAAAGCUUGCUUUCCCUGUUGACGACCGCCGCACGGGUGAGUAACGCGUAUCCAACCUGCCUAUAACUAGGGAAUAACAUUGCGAAAGUAAGACUAAUACCCUUUGAUUUCCUUUGAUGACAUCAGAUCAGGACUAACGAUUUAUCAGUUAUAGAUGGGGAUGCGUCAGAUUAGCUUGUUGGCGGGGUAACGGCCCACCAAGGCAACGAUCAGGAGGGGUUCUGAGAGGAAGGUCCCCCACAUUUGAACUGAGACACGGUACAAACUCCUACGGGAGGGAGCGGUGAGGAAUAUUGGUCAAUGGGCGGAAGCCUGAACCAGCCAAGUAGCGUGCAGGAUGACGGCCCUAUGGGAUGUAAACUGCUUUUAUACAGGGAGAAAGGUAGCCACGUGUGGUUAUUUGUAGGUACUCUAUGAAUAAGGACCGGCUAAUUCCGUGCCAGCCGCCGCAGUAA
rnacentral:rRNA from 1 species